AGUAAGGCUGAGUGUUAGGCAAAUCCGGCACUCAUAAGGCUGAGCUGUGAUGGGGAGAGGAAAUUGUUUCCUCGAGUCGUUGAUUUCACACUGCCGAGAAAAGCCUCUAGAUAGAUAACAGGUGCCCGUACCGCAAACCGACACAGGUAGUCAAGAUGAGAAUUCUAAGGUGAGCGAGCGAACUCUCGUUAAGGAACUCGGCAAAAUGACCCCGUAACUUCGGGAGAAGGGGUGCUCUUUAGGGUUCACGCCCAGAAGAGCCGCAGUGAAUAGGCCCAAGCGACUGUUUAUCAAAAACACAGGUCUCUGCUAAACCGUAAGGUGAUGUAUAGGGGCUGACGCCUGCCCGGUGCUGGAAGGUUAAGAGGAGUGGUUAGCUUCUGCGAAGCUACGAAUCGAAGCCCCAGUAAACGGCGGCCGUAACUAUAACGGUCCUAAGGUAGCGAAAUUCCUUGUCGGGUAAGUUCCGACCCGCACGAAAGGCGUAACGAUUUGGGCACUGUCUCAACGAGAGACUCGGUGAAAUCAUAGUACCUGUGAAGAUGCAGGUUACCCGCGACAGGACGGAAAGACCCCGUGGAGCUUUACUGUAGCCUGAUAUUGAAAUUCGGCACAGCUUGUACAGGAUAGGUAGGAGCCUUUGAAACGUGAGCGCUAGCUUACGUGGAGGCGUUGGUGGGAUACUACCCUAGCUGUGUUGGCUUUCUAACCCGCACCACUUAUCGUGGUGGGAGACAGUGUCAGGCGGGCAGUUUGACUGGGGCGGUCGCCUCCUAAAAGGUAACGGAGGCGCUCAAAGGUUCCCUCAGAAUGGUUGGAAAUCAUUCAUAGAGUGUAAAGGCAUAAGGGAGCUUGACUGCGAGACCUACAAGUCGAGCAGGGUCGAAAGACGGACUUAGUGAUCCGGUGGUUCCGCAUGGAAGGGCCAUCGCUCAACGGAUAAAAGCUACCCCGGGGAUAACAGGCUUAUCUCCCCCAAGAGUUCACAUCGACGGGGAGGUUUGGCACCUCGAUGUCGGCUCAUCGCAUCCUGGGGCUGUAGUCGGUCCCAAGGGUUGGGCUGUUCGCCCAUUAAAGCGGUACGCGAGCUGGGUUCAGAACGUCGUGAGACAGUUCGGUCCCUAUCCGUCGUGGGCGUAGGAAAUUUGAGAGGAGCUGUCCUUAGUACGAGAGGACCGGGAUGGACAUACCUCUGGUGUACCAGUUGUCGUGCCAACGGCAUAGCUGGGUAGCUAUGUAUGGACGGGAUAAGUGCUGAAAGCAUCUAAGCAUGAAGCCCCCCUCAAGAUGAGAUUUCCCAACUUCGGUUAUAAGAUCCCUCGAAGAUGACGAGGUUAAUAGGUUCGAGGUGGAAGCGUGGUGACACGUGGAGCUGACGAAUACUAAU
rnacentral:rRNA from 1 species